rnacentral:rRNA from 1 species
UACGAAGGGUGCAAACGUUGCUCGGAAUUAUUGGGCGUAAAGCGCACGUAGGCGGUCUGUUAUGUCGGAUGUGAAAGCCCUUGGCUCAACUGAGGAAGUGCAUCCGAAACUGGCAGGCUAGAGUACUAAAGAGGAUCGCGGAAUUCCUGGUGUAGCGGUGAAAUGCGCAGAUAUCAGGAGGAACACCGAUGGCGAAGGCAGGUCUCUGGGCCAUAACUGACGCUGAGAAGCGAAAGCAUGGGGAGCGAACGGG